UACGUAGGGACCGAGCGUUGUCCGGAAUCAUUGGGCGUAAAGAGCGUGUAGGCGGCCACUUAAGUCCUGCGUGAAAUCUUGCGGCUCAACCGCAAGCGGUCGUGGGAAACUGGGUGGCUAGAGUGCGGGAGAGGAGAGUGGAAUUCCUGGUGUAGCGGUGGAAUGCGCAGAUAUCAGGAAGAACACCCGUGGCGAAGGCGGCUCUCUGGACCGAGACUGACGCUGAGGCGCGAAAGCGUGGGGAGCAAACAGG
rnacentral:rRNA from 1 species